AACCCAUGAUGAUGGCACCAUCUCAAUAAGUCCUUUUACCUCUCCCAUGCAUCAUAUAAAGUCUCUAAAUCGAUCUGUACAAAGGAGGAGACACCAUUCCACAACUU
rfam:Gossypium arboreum cultivar AKA8401 contig_12231_3, whole genome shotgun sequence.